rnacentral:rRNA from 1 species
AGGACGAACGCUUGCGACGUGCCUAAGAAAUGCAAGUCGAACGGGGAUGAUCUUCGGAUUGUCUUAGUGGCGAACGGUCGCGUAACACGUGGGCAACCUGCCCUGAAGCGGGGGACAACGGUCCGAAAGGGUCGCUAAUACCGCAUGUGCAUACUUACUGGCAUCAGUGUGUAUGCAAAGGACUUCAGUUGAGAGACUGUGGUUCACUUCAGGAUGGGCCCGCGGCCUAUCAGCUAGUUGGAGGGGUAACGGCCCACCAAGGCUUCGACGGGUAGCUGGUCUGAGAGGACGAUCAGCCGGAUUGGGACUGAGAUACGGCCCAGACUCCUACGGGGGGCAGCAAUUAGGAAUCUUGCACAAUGGGGGAAACCCUGAUGCAGCGACGUCGCGUGGAGGAUGGAAUCUUUCGGGAUGUAAACUCCUUUUCCGGGAAGAACAAUGACGGUACCGGUGAAUAAGCCCCGGCUAACUACGCGCCAGCAGCCGCGGU